UAAGAGGUCCAGCCUGCCCUGUGACUAUAAGUUUAACGGCCGCGGUAUUCUAACCGUGCGAAGGUAGCGCAAUCACUUGUCUUUUAAAUGAAGACCUGUAUGAAUGGAUCAACGAGGGCUUAACUGUCUCCUUCCUCAAGUCAAUGAAAUUGAUCUCCCCGUGCAGAAGCGGGGAUAAGCACAUAAGACGAGAAGACCCUAUGAAGCUUUAGACACCAAGGCAUGCCACGUUAAAACUCCCCCCACUAAAGGACCAAACUAAAUGGAUUAUGCCCCCUGUCUUUGGUUGGGGCGACCGCGGGGAAAUAAAAAACCCCCACGUGGAAUGGGAACACUACCUUCCCAGAACCAAGAGCUGCAGCUCUAAUAAACAGAAUUUCUGACCAAUUCAGAUCCGGCAAUGCCGAUCAACGGACCGAGUUACUCUAGGGAUAACAGCGCAAUCCCCUUUUAGAGCCCAUAUCGACAAGGGGGUUUACGACCUCGAUGUUGGAUCAGGACAUCCUAAUGGCGCAGCCGCUAUUAAGGGUUCGUUUGUUCAACG
rnacentral:rRNA from 1 species